CCAAUAGCGUAUAUUAAAGUUGUUGCAGUUAAAAAGCUCGUAGUUGAAUUUCGGGAUCGACGGGUCGGUCGCGCCUCUGGUGUGUACUGGCCCUGUCGGUUUCUCCCUUCUGACGAACCACGAUGUCAUUAAUUUGGUGUCGUGGGAAAUCAGGACUGUUACUUUGAAAAAAUUAGAGUGUUUAAAGCAGGCAUUCGCUUGAAUACAGUAGCAUGGAAUAAUAAAAUAGGACGUUUGAUCUUAUUUUGUUGGUUUCUAAGAUCGACGUAAUGAUUAAUAGGGAUAGUUGGGGGCAUUAGUAUUCAAUUGUCAGAGGUGAAAUUCUUGGAUUUAUUGAAGACUAACUACUGCGAAAGCAUUUGCCAAGGAUGUUUUCAUUAAUCAAGAACGAAAGUUAGGGGAUCGAAGACGAUCAGAUACCGUCGUAGUCUUAACCAUAAACUAUGCCGACUAGGGAUCGGAUGAUGUUAAUUUUUUAAUGACUCAUUCGGCGCCUUACG
rnacentral:misc_RNA from 1 species